UACGAGGGGUGCAAGCGUUGCUCGGAAUUAUUGGGCGUAAAGGGUAGGUAGGUGGUCUCAUUUGUCUGGGGUGAAAGCCUUGAGCUUAACUCAAGAAGUGCCCCGGAAACGGUGAGACUGGAGUCCUGGAGAGGGUUGUGGAAUUCCCGGUGUAGCGGUGAAAUGCGCAGAUAUCAGGAGGAACACCGGUGGCGAAGGCGGGUCUCUGGGCCGAUACUGACGCUGAGGAGCGAAAGCAUGGGUAGCGAACAGG
rnacentral:rRNA from 1 species